UUGCCGCGCAGUAUGUUCUCCCAGAUGAAGCUUUAAUCUAUAUCGUACAUCUCUGCUGCUGUAAAUUCAUGCUCCAUUAUACCACCAUAUGCUUGGCUUUGCUCAGAGAAAGCUGCAGUAAUCCUAAUACUUCAUCUCGCUUUAUAGAUAUUUGUGUUGCGGCUUUCACUGCAUAUUGUUUGCUCACACACUUAAAGGUUAUGUCUUAAUAAGUUGUUCUGGAUGAGUUUAUUAGCAGGGAGCUGGCAGUUGAUGAGGUUUUGUGUUUUGAGAAGGUGUUGUAGUUAUUGCCAAUUACGAUAUGAGGCUCAGGAAGCAAAAAGGGAGAGUUUGGUUCAUUAAAGAAAUCUGGAGGCAACAGUGCUUUAGGUUGUGUAUAAUUUUUGGCUUGUCAGAUGCCUGGUUUCUUUUUCAGCUGCUCCCAGGUAUAGAUAAUUUCCUCUGCAAACCGGGCAGUUCUAAAUGCAAAAGCAUAAAAGGAUGGACCAAGGUUCUUCAGAAUCAGUUGAGUUGUUUAUAGUGUUCAGAACCAUUAGUUGUGAUGCAGAAACAGUGGAUUCCUGAAAAUUCUAGAUGCUUUUGAUAUAUCCACAGAAUUCUGUGUAUUAUUUAUAUUGAUGAAGGAUGGUAAACAGAAAAGAGAUGCUUUUAAAAGACUGUUUUUUCUAUUAUUUAAACUUAUACUCUCUAUUAUUUAGGAAUAUCAGCUGUCAAAAAUGCUCAGUAUGUGUCGGUUUGCAAGUAAUUAUGCACUAUUGUGUACAUUAGGAAUUCAGCAGAGUUCUCAGGACUACUUGAGAUUCAGAGUAGGAAUUAAUUUGAAAGAGAGAAUUGUAUUGACAGUUUAGAACCAUUGCAUUGGGCUGAGCAGAUUAAGCACUGCCUGUAAGAGAAGAUCAGAAUUGUCCUUCUUAGCUCUUCUUGCAGCUGAACAUUGCUUGUUCUGAAACAUGUCUCCCAGCUCCCCCAAAAAAUCUGAACUAUGAAUUACAGUCAAGGUGUGCUGAGAAGGCCCAAGCUGACCCCGCAGAGCUUUGGCUGUUCCACACACCUGGGAGCUGUUCUGGGAGAGAGGAGCAGAGCAGGACAGAAGGGAAUAUCGUAACUGUGUUAUGAGGAAAGCAGGGGAGCUGCUGCCUGAGCCCUGCUUCACCUGCAGUUAUUUCCAACAGAAUUAAACAAGAGGAUGAAAUGGAGAAGACCGCUACCUGUUGAGCACUUGGAUUUUUCAUUCUGAGUCUCCCAUAGCCUUCCUACUUGAUCCUGGACUGCCAAUUCCCCAAAAAGACAACCAAAAGGCUUGGCUUCCUCUCCAAAAGGCUUGCAGGAAAGCACAAUUUUAUGUCUAUGAACUUUUUCACAGUCUUGGGUGGCACACAUAAGGGAAAUGCACUGUUUUAUGAGAAAUGUAAACAUUAUUCAGUCUCAUGAAAUUUGAGUAAUGUGACCAAUAUGGAGUAUCUUUUAUUAUUUUGCUGUUCUUUAAUCUCAGAAUGAUUCUUAAUCUUAAAUGAUUUAUGUACUACAUAAACACAACAAACUCCCAUUUUAUAUUGUGUUGGACUUUAUUCUUGAAAGGACUGAUCUGUUUUGAAAAGCAAUUGCAUAAUCUAAUAACUUUUUCUACAACAUCCCUGAUUUAUGUAGUCAUAACAUGGUGAAAUUUAGUUUUAUUGGGUUUUUAGUUUUACUCCAAAAAUCCAAACAAGCAAAUAAAUGUUGGGUUAUAUUUCUCUCUGGUUAUCACCAGAAACAUUCUUUAGUCAAGCUACAUUACAUCAAGAAUUUUUUUACCUUCACAAAUCGGGAGAUAUAAGGGAGCUGAUUAAUUAUGACUAAAGAUGUGACUUUAGGUCAGUGACAGCGCUCAAGUACACGCUGAGAGCAAAACUGGCAUUUUAGAAUAGGUAGAUGUCUAGAAAUCAACAAUUAAAUGUUUUCAGGGGACACCGGAGUGCUGGGAGAGCCUGCUUGACAUGUGACAGACUGCAGGACAUCACCUGUGCACUGAUGCCCGCGGCGCGUGCAUGAACAACUCGGCUGCCGGAGGAGGAAA